UUUGAUCCUGGCUCAGAUUGAACGCUGGCGGCACGCCUAACACAUGCAAGUCGAGCGGUAGCAUGCACGUAGUAAUACGUGUGAUGACGAGCGGCGGACGGGUGAGGAACACGUAGGAACCUGCCCUCGAGCGGGGGAUAACUAAGGGAAACUUUAGCUAAUACCGCAUAAUCUCGAGAGAGCAAAGUUGCCCGUAAGGGUGACACUCGGGGAGGGGCCUGCGUCCGAUUAGCUAGUUGGUAGGGUAAAAGCCUACCAAGGCGAUGAUCGGUAACUGGUCUGAGAGGACGACCAGUCACACUGGGACUGAGACACGGCCCAGACUCCUACGGGAGGCAGCAGUGGGGAAUAUUGGACAAUGGGGGCAACCCUGAUCCAGCGAUGCCGCGUGAGUGAAGAAGGCCCUCGGGUCGUAAAGCUCUUUAGGUUGGGAAGAAGUGUGUUGUAGGAAAUGACAGCACAUUGACGGUACCGACAGAAUAAGCACCGGCAAACUCUGUGCCAGCAGCCGCGGUAAUACAGAGGGUGCGAGCGUUAACCGGAUUUACUGGGCGUAAAGGGCGCGUAGGCGGCAAGAUGUGUGUGAUGUGAAAGCCCCGAGCUUAACUUGGGAAGUGCAUCGCAAACUGUUUAGCUAGAGUAUAUGAGAGGGUGGCGGAAUUUUCCGGUGUAGCGGUGAAAUGCGUAGAGAUCGGAAGGAACGUCAAUGGUGAAGGCAGCCACCUGGCAUAAUACUGACGCUGAGGCGCGAAAGCGUGGGGAGCCAACAGGAUUAGAUACCCUGGGAGUCACGCUGUAAAGGAGGAGUACUAAUGUUGGGAGGGGAACCUAUCACUAUUGAAAUUACACGAUUAGUACUCCUCCUGGGCACUACUGCCGAAGGUUGAAAUAAAAUGAAUGUGAUGGCGGCCGCCAAACGGCUGAGGUGUUUCUUAUUCAAUUCAUGGCACGACACGUACCUUUCUCUACAAUAAGCCAUGUCAAAUCCACAUCAGUUGUUACCGCAGAGGGAGACACACUGUUGCG
rnacentral:rRNA from 1 species